rnacentral:lncRNA from 1 species
GAAAAGAACAAAGUUUUGUCCAUCUUUGUUCAUCAUAGCCUAAAGUUAGAGAAAGGAGAGGAAGGAGAGGAGAAAGCUCUUGAAUGUACGGUCACUUGGGGAAGAAAAUUGAAGGUAAGUUCAUGGUAGUUUGCUUCUAUCUUGAUGUUCAUGAGUUCUUCUUGAUUCUACCUUAACUCUUGAAGCAUAUUUUGGUUUUUGGUUGUGUUGUGAGCAUUUGGUCAUGAAUUAAAAUGAAG